CAGUAGCCGCGGUAAUACGGAGGAUCCAAGCGUUAUCCGGAAUCAUUGGGUUUAAAGGGUCCGUAGGCGGUCUUGUAAGUCAGUGGUGAAAGCCCAUCGCUCAACGGUGGAACGGCCAUUGAUACUGCAGGACUUGAAUUAUUGGGAAGUAACUAGAAUAUGUAGUGUAGCGGUGAAAUGCUUAGAGAUUACAUGGAAUACCAAUUGCGAAGGCAGGUUACUACCAAUUGAUUGACGCUGAUGGACGAAAGCGUGGGUAGCGAACAGGAUUAGAUACCCCAGUAGUCCCUGUCUCUUAUAC
rnacentral:rRNA from 1 species